UACAGAGGUCCCAAGCGUUGUUCGGAUUCAUUGGGCGUAAAGGGUGCGUAGGCGGCGCGGUAAGUCGGGUGUGAAAUCUCGGAGCUUAACUCCGAAACUGCAUUCGAUACUGCCGUGCUUGAGGACUGGAGAGGAGACUGGAAUUCAUGGUGUAGCAGUGAAAUGCGUAGAGAUCAUGAGGAAGACCAGUGGCGAAGGCGGGUCUCUGGACAGUUCCUGACAGCUGAGACACGGAAGGCCAGGGGAGCAAACGGG
rnacentral:rRNA from 1 species